UAGGGUUUGAUUAUGGCUCAGAACGAACGCUGGCGGCAGGCCAAACACAUGCAAGUCGAGCGCUACCUUCGGGUGGAGCGGCGGACGGGUUAGUAACGCGUGGGAAUAUACCCAGUUCUAAGGAAUAGCCACUGGAAACGGUGAGUAAUACCUUAUACGCCCUUCGGGGGAAAGAUUUAUCGGAAUUGGAUUAGCCCGCGUUAGAUUAGACAGUUGGUGGGGUAAUGGCCUACCAAGUCUACGAUCUAUAGCUGGUUUGAGAGGAUGAUCAGCAGCACUGGGACUGAGACACGGCCCAGACUCCCACGGGAGGCAGCAGUGGGGAAUCUUAGACAAUGGGCGCAAGCCUGAUCUAGCCAUGCCGCGUGAGUGAUGAAGGCCCUAGGGUCGUAAAGCUCUUUCAACUGUGAAGAUAAUGACGGUAGUAGUAGAAGAAACCCCGGCUAACUCCGUGCCAGCAGCCGCGGUAAUACGGAGGGGGUUAGCGUUGUUCGGAAUUACUGGGCGUAAAGCGUACGUAGGCGGACUAAUAAGUUAGAGGUGAAAUCCCAGGGCUCAACCCUGGAACUGCCUUUAAAACUGUUAGUCUUGAGAUCGAGAGAGGUGAGUGGAAUUCCAAGUGUAGAGGUGAAAUUCGUAGAUAUUUGGAGGAACACCAGUGGCGAAGGCGGCUCACUGGCUCGAUACUGACGCUGAGGUACGAAAGUGUGGGGAGCAAACAGGAUUAGAUACCCUGGUAGUCCACACCGUAAACGAUGAAUGCCAGACGUCAGCAAGCAUGCUUGUUGGUGUCACACCUAACGGAUUAAGCAUUCCGCCUGGGGAGUACGGUCGCAAGAUCAAAACUCAAAGGAAUUGACGGGGGCCCGCACAAGCGGUGGAGCAUGUGGUUUAAUUCGACGCAACGCGCAGAACCUUACCAACCCUUGACAUACUUGUCGCGGAUUCCAGAGAUGGAUUCCUUCAGUUCGGCUGGACAAUGUACAGGUGCUGCAUGGCUGUCGUCAGCUCGUGUCGUGAGAUGUUCGGUUAAGUCCGGCAACGAGCGCAACCCACGUCCUUAGUUACCAGCAUUUAGUUGGGUACCCUAAGGAGACUGCCGGUGAUAAGCCGGAGGAAGGUGUGGACGACGUCAAGUCAUCAUGGCCCUUACGGGUUGGGCUACACACGUGCUACAAUGGCAUCUACAGUGAGUUAAUCUCCAAAAGAUGUCUCAGUUCGGAUUGGGGUCUGCAACUCGACCCCAUGAAGUUGGAAUCGCUAGUAAUCGCGGAACAGCAUGCCGCGGUGAAUACGUUCCCGGGCCUUGUACACACCGCCCGUCACACCGUGGGAAUUGGGUCUACCCGAAGGUGGUGCGCCAACUAUUUAUAGGGGCAGCCAACCACGGUAGGUUCAGUGACUGGGGUGAAGUCGUAACAAGGUAGCC
rnacentral:rRNA from 1 species